GAUCAUGGGCGGGCUGGGCAGGGAGCCGCAAGGCUCGCCGGUGCAGACUCGGUCUUCCAACCUGUUCAGUUCCGCCCGCCACG
rnacentral:antisense_RNA from 1 species